rnacentral:rRNA from 1 species
UUGGAGGGCAAGUCUGGUGCCAGCAGCCGCGGUAAUUCCAGCUCCAAUAGCGUAUAUUAAAGUUGUUGCAGUUAAAAAGCUCGUAGUUGAAUUUCGGGAUUGGCGCAUCGGUCGUGCCUCACGGGGUAUGAACUGGUGCAGUCAAUUUCUCACCUUCUGGAGAACCGCGAUGUCCUUAAUUGGAUGCCGCGGGGAACCAGGACCUUUACUUUGAAAAAAUUAGAGUGUUUAAAGCAGGCAUUUUUGCUUGAAUACAUUAGCAUGGAAUAAUAAAAUAGGACGGCAUGGUUCUAUUUUGUUGGUUUCUAGGACCACCGUAAUGAUUAAUAGGGAUAGUUGGGGGCAUUAGUAUUCAAUUGUCAGAGGUGAAAUUCUUGGAUUUAUUGAAGACUAACUACUGCGAAAGCAUUUGCCAAGGAUGUUUUCAUUAAUCAAGAACGAAAGUCAGGGGAUCGAAGACGAUCAGAUACCGUCGUAGUCUUAACCAUAAACUAUGCCGACUAGGAAUCAGACGAUGUUAAUUUUUUAAUGACUCGUUUGGCACCUACGGGAAACCAAAGUGUUUGGGUUC